rnacentral:rRNA from 1 species
GACGAACGCUGGCGGCGUGCUUAACACAUGCAAGUCGAACGGAAAGGCCCCUUCGGGGGUACUCGAGUGGCGAACGGGUGAGUAACACGUGAGUAACCUGCCCUUGACUUCGGGAUAACUUCAGGAAACUGGGGCUAAUACCGGAUAGGAAUCCUUGCUGCAUGGUGGGGGUUGGAAAGCUUCGGCGGUUUUGGAUGGACUCGCGGCUUAUCAGCUUGUUGGUGGGGUAGUGGCUUACCAAGGCUUUGACGGGUAGCCGGCCUGAGAGGGCGACCGGCCACAUUGGGACUGAGAUACGGCCCAGACUCCUACGGGAGGCGGCAGUGGGGAAUAUUGCACAAUGGGCGGAAGCCUGAUGCAGCAACGCCGCGUGCGGGAUGACGGCCUUCGGGUUGUAAACCGCUUUCAGCAGGGGCGAAGCUUGUGGUGACGGUACCUGCAGAAGAAGCACCGGCUAACUACGUG